rnacentral:rRNA from 1 species
GAUGAACGCUGGCGGCGUGCCUAAUACAUGCAAGUCGAGCGAACAGACGAGGAGCUUGCUCCUUCGACGUUAGCGGCGGACGGGUGAGUAACACGUAGGUAACCUACCUAUAAGACUGGGAUAACUUCGGGAAACCGGAGCUAAUACCGGAUAAUAUUUCGAACCGCAUGUUCGAUAGUGAAAGAUGGCUUUGCUAUCACUUAUAGAUGGACCUGCGCCGUAUUAGCUAGUUGGUAAGGUAACGGCUUACCAAGGCAACGAUACGUAGCCGACCUGAGAGGGUGAUCGGCCACACUGGAACUGAGACACGGUCCAGACUCCUACGGGAGGCAGCAGUAGGGAAUCUUCCGCAAUGGGCGAAAGCCUGACGGAGCAACGCCGCGUGAGUGAUGAAGGUUUUCGGAUCGUAAAACUCUGUUAUUAGGGAAGAACAAACGUGUAAGUAACUGUGCACGACUUGACGGUACCUAAUCAGAAAGCCACGGCUAACUACGUG